UACGGAGGGUGCGAGCGUUGUUCGGAAUUACUGGGCGUAAAGCGCGUGUAGGCGGCCUUCUAAGUCUGGUGUGAAAGCCCGGGGCUCAACCCCGGAAGUGCAUUGGAUACUGGGAGGCUGGAGUACCGGAGAGGAGGGUGGAAUUCCUGGUGUAGCGGUGAAAUGCGUAGAGAUGUGGAGGAACACCAAUGGCGAAGGCAGCCUUCUGGGCCAACACUGACGCUCAUGCACGAAAGCGUGGGGAGCAAACAGG
rnacentral:rRNA from 1 species